UAUGGCCACAUCAUAUUGAAACACUGGUUCCUGUAUGAUCACUGAAGUUAAGCAACAUAAGACCUGGUUAGCCCCUAGAUGGGUGACCACUUGGGAAUACCAAGCACUGUAAG